CGGAAGAUGUAACGGGGCUAAGCAAUACACCGAAGCUGCGGCAAUGUCUUUUAGACAUUGGGUAGGGGAGCGUUCUGUAAGCCGUUGAAGGUGAAUCGUAAGGUUUGCUGGAGGUAUCAGAAGUGCGAAUGCUGACAUGAGUAACGACAAAGGGGGUGAAAAACCUCCUCGCCGGAAGACCAAGGGUUCCUGUCCAACGUUAAUCGGGGCAGGGUGAGUCGACCCCUAAGGUGAGGCCGAAAGGCGUAAUCGAUGGGAAACGGGUUAAUAUUCCCGUACUUCUGACUAUUGCGAUGGGGGGACGGAGAAGGCUAGGUGGGCCAGGCGACGGUUGUCCUGGUUCAAGUGCGUAGGCUUGAGAGUUAGGUAAAUCCGGCUCUCUCUAAGGCUGAGACACGACGUCGAGCUACUACGGUAGUGAAGUCAUUGAUGCCAUGCUUCCAGGAAAAGCCUCUAAGCUUCAGAUAGUCAGGAAUCGUACCCCAAACCGACACAGGUGGUCGGGUAGAGAAUACCAAGGCGCUUGAGAGAACUCGGGUGAAGGAACUAGGCAAAAUGGUACCGUAACUUCGGGAGAAGGUACGCUCUUGAUGGUGAAGUCCCUCGCGGAUGGAGCUGACGAGAGUCGCAGAUACCAGGUGGCUGCAACUGUUUAUUAAAAACACAGCACUGUGCAAAAUCGCAAGAUGACGUAUACGGUGUGACGCCUGCCCGGUGCCGGAAGGUUAAUUGAUGGGGUUAGCGCAAGCGAAGCUCUUGAUCGAAGCCCCGGUAAACGGCGGCCGUAACUAUAACGGUCCUAAGGUAGCGAAAUUCCUUGUCGGGUAAGUUCCGACCUGCACGAAUGGCGUAAUGAUGGCCACGCUGUCUCCACCCGAGACUCAGUGAAAUUGAAAUCGCUGUGAAGAUGCAGUGUACCCGCGGCUAGACGGAAAGACCCCGUGAACCUUUACUACAGCUUGGCACUGAACAUUGAACCUACAUGUGUAGGAUAGGUGGGAGGCUAUGAAGACGUGACGCCAGUUGCGUUGGAGCCGUCCUUGAAAUACCACCCUUGUAUGU
rnacentral:rRNA from 1 species